rnacentral:rRNA from 1 species
UACGAAGGGGGCUAGCGUUGUUCGGAAUUACUGGGCGUAAAGCGCACGUAGGCGGAUCGAUCAGUCAGGGGUGAAAUCCCAGGGCUCAACCCUGGAACUGCCUUUGAUACUGGGGAUCUUGAGUCCGGGAGAGGUGAGUGGAACUGCGAGUGUAGAGGUGAAAUUCGUAGAUAUUCGCAAGAACACCAGUGGCGAAGGCGGCUCACUGGCCCGGUACUGACGCUGAGGUGCGAAAGCGUGGGGAGCAAACAGGG